GCCGGGCGUGGUGGUGCCCGCCUGUAAUCCCAGCUACUCAGGAGGCUGAGGCAGGAGAAUCGCUUGAACCCGGGAGACAGAGGUUGCAGUGAGCCGAGAUCACACCAUUGCACUGCAGCCUGGGUGACAGAGCGAGAUUUUGUCUCAA
ensembl:misc_RNA Metazoa_SRP Metazoan signal recognition particle RNA